GUCGCUUAGGAAAAAAGGACACAAUGGCUGAGAUACACUUGAGAAGAAAUAAGCAGGAAAAACAGAUCUAGGAUUUUGUUACCUUACAGAAAAUAAGGCUGAAGAGUGUGGAGCUAAAGCUGAUGCCUGAAAUCGCAGGAAAAUAAAUCAAUCUUACUGAGUUUAACUUUUCUUCAGCAAGUAUUCCAGGGAUAUUGGACAAACGAGGAAAUCUAUAGAGGAGAAUCAAGGAAAAUAUGACAGGUUUAAAACCAGGAGGCAUGGAACAGAACAACAAGCAACAGGUGAUCACUAAAGUUGAACUGGAGCUCAUUCGCCAGAAGAUGACUCUUCGGUAAUUAGGUGAGAGGGCGGUCCGGCGAUGAAGAACUGACGAGACUAAGCCCGGCCACAUCUCAGGUCAAAUAUAAUCAGAUUAAUGGUCAUAAAAAUUAAGAAGGGAGUCUCAAUUAAAGCUUUCAGAGAAAUGCACGACGUGAAUUUGGAGCCUCUUCGAUUGGGCCGUAAAAGGGUUCGAACGGAAAUGCAAUCUUAAUGUUCUUCAGCCAUGAGACAUCAGCGUGUCGUUGACUGAGCCAUGAACUCCUGAUGAAGAGAAAUACUUUUAUUGAUCCGCUGAUGACGGCAGACAAAAAGCCAUAUCUGGGCUUUAGAGAACGUCUUCAGAAAGUACAUUACAGACAGAAAAACAAGCGCUUUUAUCAUCAGCCUUACUUUCACUUUGAUGUUUUUGGAUUGAAAAUAAUUUAGUAGCUCAUUUACAGUAAAAGUAUUCAUUCAGUGCCUGAUUUUAAAGCUACGUAUUUUAAAGCUUUUAAAUUCGAUAACUAUAUAAUGGAAUAAAACUAAUCAACAAACAUCAGUUACAGUUACAGCAGAAGUUACAUUUCUCAGACACAACUGGAUUUUUUUAUCCAUUCAUAUAGAUUUAAUCACUGGGAACAUCUGACAAAAAUGUAUUAAUUACAUCAUUGUAUCUAUAAAGAGUCGAUCCUCCAUCCCGUCAUUUUAUUUUCCACUACUGAAGAUAUAAGGAUUUAAAGGGUUUUUCAAAGGAUCUUCAUGUGUUCUUCAUGGGUUCCGAGCUCUCCUAUUGAUUGAGGAACUCUUUAUGGUACUGUAGGGUUGAACACAAAAACUUUUUGGGGGUUUAUCCGGACAGGAACUAAUUGAGAAACACUUCAUGUUGCUAGAUAGAACCUUUUUUUUUCUAUAGUCGUGUGUUGCACUCGUCUCUUUUAAAAAAAAAAAGGUGGAAGAAAGAACCAGACAGAACCAAAAUGGAAUUUU